GAGCCGGAGGGAAACCGAGUCUUAAUUGGGCGUUAAGUUGCAGGGUAUAGACCCGAAACCCGGUGAUCUAGCCAUGGGCAGGUUGAAGGUUGGGUAACACUAACUGGAGGACCGAACCGACUAAUGUUGAAAAAUUAGCGGAUGACCUGUGGCUGGGGGUGAAAGGCCAAUCAAACCGGGAGAUAGCUGGUUCUCCCCGAAAGCUAUUUAGGUAGCGCCUCGUGAAUUCAUCUCCGGGGGUAGAGCACUGUUUCGGCUAGGGGGCCAUCCCGGCUUACCAACCCGAUGCAAACUGCGAAUACCGGAGAAUGUUAUCACGGGAGACACACGGCGGGUGCUAACGUCCGUCGUGAAGAGGGAAACAACCCAGACCGCCAGCUAAGGUCCCAAAGUCAUGGUUAAGUGGGAAACGAUGUGGGAAGGCCCAGACAGCCAGGAUGUUGGCUUAGAAGCAGCCAUCAUUUAAAGAAAGCGUAAUAGCUCACUGGUCGAGUCGGCCUGCGCGGAAGAUGUAACGGGGCUAAACCAUGCACCGAAGCUGCGGCAGCGAACGUAUCACUUAAAGCGAUUCAGCG
rnacentral:rRNA from 1 species